GCGCCAACAAAUUCCGUAGCGCUGUACAAUGGGUGGACUAACAGACACAUAAUUGAGAUCAGACCACUGACGUACAGGAACAGAGGGGGUUGAGGGCCCUGCUCGAUGAGCUUACAUGCUAGAGGGAGUGGGGUAUAGUGACACAAAGGGUUAAAGUAGGGGAAUUAAAUAGUUUGUUACAGAAGGGUUUAUUGAGUGCUUGGUAGGUCAUUUUUGACAGGUGAAGGAACGGAGUCAUGGGGUGGGGGAUGAGAAACCUGCUGACAGUUUAAUUGAUACGCUUUAAUAAAGAAGUGAGUUUUCAAG